GAUGAACGCUGGCGGCAUGCCUAAUACAUGCAAGUCGAACGAGAACCUUCGGGUUCUAGUGGCGAACGGGUGGGUAACACGUAGAUAACCUGCCCACCAGACCGGGAUAACUGAUGGAAACGUCUGCUAAUACCGGAUAGUUACAGAGGAGGCAUCUCCUUUGUAUUAAAGUCGGGACACGACCCUGAUGGAUGGAUCUGCGGUGCAUUAGCUAGUUGGUGAGGUAACGGCCUACCAAGGCGGCGACGGGUAGCCGGCCUGAGAGGGCGACCGGCCACACUGUGACUGGAACACGGCCCAGACUCCUACGGGAGGCAGCAGUGGGGAAUAUUGCACAAUGGGCGGAAGCCUGAUGCAGCGACGCCGCGUGAGGGAUGACGGCCUUCGGGUUGUAAACCUCUUUCGACAGGGACGAAGCGCAAGUGACGGUACCUGGAGAAGAAGCACCGGCCAACUACGUGCCAGCCGCCGCCGUAACAC
rnacentral:rRNA from 1 species